UUUUAUGAUGAGAACAAGUCCUUAGAGACAAUUUAUAUAAACCCAGCUCUUCGACUAAUCUGUUCGUGAGAAGAAAAUUUGUCAAACGCUCUGAUU
rnacentral:snoRNA from 1 species